rfam:Arabis alpina cultivar Pajares scaff_64599_1_contig_0, whole genome shotgun sequence.
AAUCCGUGAUGAGGACAAUCUCUCUGAUAUCCCUUGAAUUGUUCCCAUGAAGCCUUGAAUGCUUCAGUCGUCCCUUGACAGAAUGUAGAGAUCUUAGCUCGUAGAUC